rnacentral:rRNA from 1 species
AUUGAACGCUGGCGGAAUGCUUUACACAUGCAAGUCGAACGGUAGAGGGGGCAACCCCUCGAGAGUGGCGAACGGGUGAGUAAUAUAUCGGAACGUGCCCAGUCGUGGGGGAUAACGUAGCGAAAGUUACGCUAAUACCGCAUACGAUCUAAGGAUGAAAGCGGGGGAUCGCAAGACCUCGCGCGAUUGGAGCGGCCGAUAUCAGAUUAGGUAGUUGGUGGGGUAAAGGCUCACCAAGCCAACGAUCUGUAGCUGGUCUGAGAGGACGACCGGCCACACUGGAACUGAGACACGGUCCAGACUCCUACGGGAGGCAGCAGUGGGGAAUUUUGGACAAUGGACGCAAGUCUGAUCCAGCCAUUCCGCGUGCAGGAUGAAGGCCUUCGGGUUGUAAACUGCUUUUGUACGGAACGAAAAGGUCUCUCUUAAUACGGGGGGCUCAUGACGGUACCGUAAGAAUAAGCACCGGCUAACUACGUGCCAGCAGCCGCAGUAA